rnacentral:tRNA from 1 species
GGGCUCGUAGCUCAGCUGGGAGAGCGCCGCGUUCGCAACGCGGAGGUCGAGGGUUCGAUCCCCUUCGGGUCCACCA